rnacentral:rRNA from 1 species
GAUGAACGCUAGCGGCGUGCCUAAUACAUGCAAGUCGAGCGGACUGAUUCGGGGCUUGCUCCGAUGAGGUCAGCGGCGGACGGGUGAGUAACACGUGGGUAACCUGCCUGAUCGUCUGGGAUAACGCUUGGAAACGAGUGCUAAUACCGGAUAAUCUCUUGGAUCGCAUGGUUCGAGAGUAAAAGGAGCUUUUGCUCCACGAUCAGAUGGACCCGCGGCGCAUUAGCUAGUUGGUGAGGUAACGGCUCACCAAGGCGACGAUGCGUAGCCGACCUGAGAGGGUGACCGGCCACACUGGGACUGAGACACGGCCCAGACACCUACGGGUGGCUG